UACGGAGUGUGCAAGCGUUACUCGGAAUCACUGGGCAUAAAGCGCGCGUAGGCGGGGAUUCAAGUCGGUUGUGAAAUCCCCCAGCUCAACUGGGGAACUGCAUCCGAUACUGUCUGUCUUGAGGACGAGAGGGGAGAGUGGAACUUCUGGUGGAGCGGUGAAAUGCGUAGAUAUCUGGAGGAAUACCGGUGGCGAAGGCGGCAUCCUGGACCGACAUUGACGCUGAGGAGCGAAAGCUAGGGGAGCAAACGGG
rnacentral:rRNA from 1 species